AUAGUGAAGCAUGUGUGGCCAGGAGAACUUAGACUGAAAACAGGUCAAUCAUUCAUAGAAUCUGUUAAUGAGUAUUUGCCUCACAAUAGAUUGUACCAGGAACUCUGCCAGCUACUGGGAAUACAAUGGAACCAGCGGUCUCCUAGUCCAUACUCAUAUCCACAGACCCCAGAGCGAGGCCACAGGAAGCGAGGCAUCUUUCGCUCCAACAUCACCGUGGUGGCCACCACCUGAAAUGAGAUGCUGUCAACAGCUGUGGUUGGGCCAGGCUGAGGUCAGAAAACUGAAAUUCCAUCCAGCUCUCUGAUGUGACUGACAGAGACCCAAGCACUUGAACCAGUAUCUGCUGCAUCAGAGUGAGCAUUAGCAAAAUGGCGGAAUCAGAAGCAUAGCUAGGCCUUCAGCCCAGGCUCAGAACCAGGGACUCAAACUGUGUUAUGGAAUGCCAGUAUCGUUAGAAUCACAUUAACCACUGUAUCAAACACUUUCCUAAUAGGAUCUCAUCUUAAAUGUCAUUUGCUCAAGAAAGUAGUUCCUAACUUUCUAGUCAGAUUCCUUUGUUGAACUUGUACUUCUCCAUUACAGUUGAAUUAUUUAAACCUUA